AAAUUAUCUUUAUGCCCUUCAAAAAAUAUAUAUGCAAUUGAAGAGGAUAAGAAACGAAAGCCGAAGGCUCUCGCUCUCAGUCUCUCCUGGCCUCUACCCGCUGUUUCGGCCAACCUCCACCACUUGAUUUCAUAUUUCUGAAGAGAGAGAGAGAGAGAAUGGAACAGCAGUGAAGAAGCCAUGGAGAGAGACGAAGAAGGGCGGUUUACCUCGUGCUGGGGACGUUUGAAAGUAAUGAUUCCUUGGAUGAGAGGAAGAAGAAGAAGGGCGAAUCAUCUGCUAAAAACGCAAGGCAACGAUAACGGCGUAGGGUGCGGGAUAACGACGACGAGCGGUAAGUCGAAUUCGGCCGGAACAUUCCGUUAUAGUCCGCUGAGCUAUGCUCAGAAUUUCGACCGCGGUUGCCCGCUCGAAGACGAUGAGGAUUCUGCGCCUCUGCGUUUUUCAACGAGAUAUGCUGCGGCUUCAUCCACCAAAUCUUCGAAAGGCCGGUAAGGCUGUAUGUAUAUAUACAUAUAUACUCCGUAUAUACUUAUCACAGUGGUAAAUAUGCUUAAUUGUUUGCAUGGAUGCGUUAUCUAUGGAGUUUCAAUCUGCAUGGAAGCAGAUGAAAGAAUAGAAACUGUUCACACAUUGUUUAUGGAGUAAUUACGUAUAUAGAAUUGAAUACGAA